AUGUAAGCUUUCUAAUUCUCUUCUACUAAUAAUCAUUUUCAGAUUUAAUUUUUUUUACCUCAAGAAAAUUUUCUGUGAACAUUUCAUUCACAAGGAUUUCUACGAUGGAUAAAAGGAUUAUGGGUUAUGCACAUCAAAUUUCUCUGAAUAAUAUUCAAGGUAAAUUCAACCGACGAAGAUUAAGCAAUUCUAGCGAGCAUAUCUACUCCUAAAUAUUGAAGGACGCACAGGAAAACAGAGGAAAAUUAAGCAUGUAUGCGCUUUGUAUUGUAUCAUGGAAAAUCUUAUUUUAAGUUGUUGUGGAUUACCAUUCAUCUUUGAAAAUGAAAAAAAUGUUGCAGACU